GAUGAACGCUGGCGGCGCGCCUAACACAUGCAAGUCGAACGGCACCCACCUCCGGGUGGCAGCGAGUGGCGAACGGCUGAGUAACACGUGGAGAACCUGCCCCCUCCCCCGGGAUAGCCGCCCGAAAGGACGGGUAAUACCGGAUACCCCGGGGUGCCGCAUGGCACCCCGGCCACAGCCCCGACGGGAGGGGAUGGCUCCGCGGCCCAUCAGGUAGACGGCGGGGUGACGGCCCACCGUGCCGACAACGGGUAGCCGGGUUGAGAGACCGACCGGCCAGAUUGGGACUGAGACACGGCCCAGACUCCUACGGGAGGCAGCAGUGGGGAAUCUUGCGCAAUGGGGGGAACCCUGACGCAGCGACGCCGCGUGCGGGACGGAGGCCUUCGGGUCGUAAACCGCUUUCAGCAGGGAAGAGUCAAGACUGUACCUGCAGAAGAAGCCCCGGCUAACUACGUGCCAGCAGCCGCCGUAAGAC
rnacentral:rRNA from 1 species